UUGAAGGUCAGUGGGUGGAUUAGAGCUGAUUUGGAACUCAAAAGGGUGAAUUUCUGUAAGUUGGAGGUUGAAGAGUCGACCCUUGCCCUUGAGAAGUUGACCAUAGGGAUUUUUUUUUGAACAAUGGUAGUUUUCUGGAAUAGGAUCAACUACUCGCCCCCUUUUCAGAGAAGUCGGCUUUAGAGCAAAAUCAUAGUCAUAGUCAACCCCUUACCUUAUGCAGUCGACCCUAGAGCACAGCAGUAGAAAAAUAAAACCCUAAAACCCCCAAAACUCGAGCCUCCUUCAUUUCUGUUUGUUCUUCCACUCUUGUUAUCUCAAAUUUCUCAACUCUCAAGACCUUCAAACUGCAUUAUUAAACCUUGACCUUCAAUAACUAAAGGGUUUCAAGAUUUGUUAGAACCCUUGCGUAAGAGCUCGCCAAGGUACUGUUGGAGUAGUUUGAGUUUUGAAGAAGUUGAGCUUUCGACGAAAUGUGUCAAGAGGAAAGGCACACUUCCAUGAGAUGGUUGCAAGAUAGGUUCUAAAAUAGUGAAGUUCAUCUCAAAGCAUUCCAAGAUCAUCAAUCUACACUACAACAAGCAUACUUCAAGUCAAGAAACGUAGUCAUCACUCAACAUUUGAUCACAAGGAAAAUAUGGUCAAAGUUACAUGUUAAAAUGUCAAGGAAUCUUGAAGAAACAAAGCUCCAAUCUAUCCUAGAGCAAUGCAAGUCAUUCAUAUGCAAGAAUGAGCGAGAACAGGUGAGAAAACUUGAGAAAGACACAACCAUAGUCGACCUUGGAACAAUCUUUAUCCAUAAUUUAGACCUUGCUUGAAUAGUUUAAAUUGGUUAAUGAUGAGCUUGACAUGAAUUGAUUACUUGAAUUGAUAUGAAAUAUCCUUGCCAUCCUA
rnacentral:sRNA from 1 species